GGAAACCACAGCUAAUACCCCGGAUGCUCAGAUGUUUAGAAAGUCUGAGUUAAAGCUCCGGUGCCUCGGGACGGGCCUGCGGGCUAUCAGCUUGUUGGUGGGGUAAUGGCCUACCAAGGCGAAGACGGCUAUGGGGCGUGAGAGCGUGGCCCCCCAGAAUGGAACUGAGACACGGUCCAUACUCGUAGNGGAGGCAGCAGUGAGGAAUAUUGCGCAAUGGGGGAAACCCUGACGCAUCAACGCCGCGUGGGUGAUGAAGGCUUUCGGGUCGUAAAACCCUUUUCUGGGGGACGAAGCCAGACGGUACCCCAGGAAUAAGUCCCGGCUAACUACGUGCCAGCAGACGCGGUAAAACGUAGGGGGCGAGCGUUAUCCGGAAUUAUUGGGCGUAAAGCGCACGUAGGCGGCAUGGUAAGUUGGACGUGACAGCUCUCGGCUUAACUUGAGAGAGCUCCUUCAAACCUCCGAUGCUCGAGACUCGAAGACGAGACCGGAAUUCCCGGUGUAGUGGUGGAAUGCGUAGAUAUCGGGAGGAACACCAGUGGCGAAAGCGGCUCUCUGGUCUACGUCGGACGCUGAGGUGCGAAAGCGUGGGGAACGAACGGGAUUAGAUACCCCGGUAGUCCACGCUGUAAACGAUGGAUACUAGGUGUAGGAGGCUUUUAACCCCUUCUGUGCCGAAGCUAACGCGUUAAGUAUCCCGCCUGGGGACUACGGCCGCAAGGCUAAAACUCAAAGGAAUUGACGGGGGCCCGCACAAGCAGCGGAGCGUGUGGUUUAAUUCGAUGAUACGCGAAGAACCUUACCUGGGUUUGACAUGUAGCUAGUAGCAAAGCGAAAGCGGCGCGACCCUUCGGGGAGCCUACACAGGUGCUGCAUGGCUGUCGUCAGCUCGUGUCGUGAGAUGUUGGGUUAAGUCCCGCAACGAGCGCAACCCUUGUCGUUAGUUAUAUGUGUCUAGCGAGACUCCCGGUUUCAAACCGCCGGAAGGUGGGGAUGACGUCAAGUCAGCAUGGUCUUUAUGUCCAGGGCUACACACACGCUACAAUGGUCGGUACAGUGGGUUGCCACACCGCGAGGUGGAGCUAAUCCUCAAAGCCGGCCUCAGUUCGGAUUGCAGUCUGCAACUCGACUGCAUGAAGUCGGAGUUGCUAGUAACCGCGCGUCAGCACUAGUCCGGUGAAUGCGUUCCCGGGCAUUGUACACACCGCCCGUCACAUCAUGGAAGUCGGUAACACCUGAAGUCG
rnacentral:rRNA from 1 species